GACGAACGCUGGCGGCGUGCUUAACACAUGCAAGUCGAACGGAAAGGCCCUGCUUUUGUGGGGUGCUCGAGUGGCGAACGGGUGAGUAACACGUGAGUAACCUGCCCUUGACUUUGGGAUAACUUCAGGAAACUGGGGCUAAUACCGGAUAGGAGCUCCUGCUGCAUGGUGGGGGUUGGAAAGUUUCGGCGGUUGGGGAUGGACUCGCGGCUUAUCAGCUUGUUGGUGGGGUAGUGGCUUACCAAGGCUUUGACGGGUAGCCGGCCUGAGAGGGUGACCGGCCACAUUGGGACUGAGAUACGGCCCAGACUCCUACGGGAGGCAGGAGUGGGGAAUAAUGCACAAUGGGCGGAAGCCUGAUGCAGCAACGCCGCGUGCGGGAUGACGGCCUUCGGGUUGUAAACCGCUUUCGCCUGUGACGAAGCGUGAGUGACGGUAAUGGGUAAAGAAGCACCGGCUAACUACGUG
rnacentral:rRNA from 1 species